CUCGGCAACGGAUAUCUCGGCUCUCGCAUCGAUGAAGAACGUAGCAAAUGCGAUACUUGGUGUGAAUUGCAGAAUCCCGUGAACCAUCGAGUCUUUGAACGCAAGUUGCGCCCGAAGCCAUUAGGCUGAGGGCACGUCUGCCUGGGCGUCACGC
rnacentral:rRNA from 1 species